AUUGAACGCUGGCGGCAGGCCUAACACAUGCAAGUCGAACGAGUGGCGGACGGGUGAGUAAUGUAUGGGAAACUGCCUGAUGGAGGGGAAUACAUACUGGACACGGUAGAUAAUACCGCAUACGCUCAGAUGAGAACAGAGGGGAUUAGCUAGUAGGUGGGGUAAAGGCUCACCUAGGCGACGAUCCCUAGAUGUUCUGAGAGGAUGACCAGCCACACUGGAACUGAGACACGGUCCAGACGCCUACGGGAGGCAGCAGUGGGGAAUAUUGCACAAUGGGCGCAAGCCUGAUGCAGCCAUGCCGCGUGUAUGAAGAAGGCCUUCGGGUUGUAAAGUACUUUCAGCGGGGAGGCGUUACCCGCAGAAGAAGCACCGGCUAACUCCGUGCCAGCAGCCGCGGUAAUUC
rnacentral:rRNA from 1 species